AGUGAACGCUGGCGGCAGGCCUAACACAUGCAAGUCGAACGGCAGCACAGUAAGAGCCUGCUCUUACGGGUGGCGAGUGGCGGACGGGUGACGCAUACAUCGGAAUCUACUUUUUCGUGGGUGAUAACGUAGGGAAACUUACGCUAAUACCGCAUACGACCUACGGCUUACAUCAGGGGAUCUUCGGACCUUGCCCGAUUGUAUGAGCUGAUGUCGGGUUAGCUAGUUUGCGGGGUAAAGGCCCACCAAGGCGACGCUCCGUAGCUGUUCUGAGAGGAUGAGCGGCCACAGUAGAACCGAGACACGGUCCAGACUGCUACGGGAGGCAGAAGUGGGGAAUAUUCGCAAAUGGGCGCAAGCCUGAUCCAGCCAUACCGCGUGAGUGAAGAAGGCCUUCGGUUUGUAAAGCGCCUUUGUUCGGAAAGAAAAGCAGCCGGAUAAUCCCCCGCUGUUCUGACGGUACCCAAAGAAUAAGCACCGGCUAACUUCGUG
rnacentral:rRNA from 1 species